GCCAUCCCAGUUCGGAUCGCAGGCUGCAACCCGCCUGCGUGAAGUUGGAAUCGCUAGUAAUCGCGGAUCAGCAUGCCGCGGUGAAUACGUUCCCGGGCCUUGUACACACCGCCCGUCACACCAUGAGAGUCGGGAACACCCGAAGUCCGUAGCCUAACCGCGAAGGGGGCGCGGCCGAAGGUGGGUUCGAUAAUUGGGGUGAAGUCGUAACAAGGUACC
rnacentral:rRNA from 1 species